AUCUAAUUUACAGAGUUGUUUUGAGUCAUAAGUUUAUGAGUAAAGAAAAGAACACCCAUGAAAGUGCUUCUGUUCAAUGCUCAACACUGACUGAAUUAUACAUAUGCCAUAACGACUGAUGACACUUUUUAUUUAAAAACCUUCAAUAGCCCAUCAUUUCCUAGAGAAAGUCUAAAAUCUAAAGCUUAGAAAUUUAAGCUCUUAAUAAUUCAACCCCACUCUCCUUUCUAGUCUUGUCUGCGGUUACAUGUCUUACAUGCACCAGGCAGAGAAAACCGGCCAAGAGGGGACUUAGCUGUCUCUCAAAUUUCCUCCUGUUGCUCCAUGUCUCCCUAUCAAGGCCCUGCUCAUCCUUCAAGGUCAGAAGCCAACUCUCUCAAGGAUCACUCCAGCUGAUAUUAAUUUCCCUUCCUAAGGCCUAUCUCAUUAUGCUCGAUUGUUUCUAAGGUGUUCAGAGUUGAGGCCUCUGAGUGGCAAGGAAUAGUGGAUCAAGGAGAGAAUGGAGGUCACCACUCUCUUGACCCCUCCAAACAUCCAAACCAAACAUCGGAGAGCUUGGGAAAGUGCCGGAGCCUUGGGAACCCAGUUAAAGCCCAGGUGGAACAAGUAGGGGCAGCCUGGCAUGGAUGCUCUCACUACAAGCAUCUCAGAUACUCUGCACUGAAUCUGGUCCUGGAAUCCUUCCCUCAGGACAGGGAUCUCCUUGGUCAGAAGACAUCAAGCCACAGCAAGGGGAUAACAGAUGCUGCUUGGCCUUCUCCUGGUCUGCCCUCCCUUGGUCUGCUUUUGUCUGAGCCCUGCCUCUUGGAUUGCCCUAACUGCUGCCCCUUGCACUCACCUCACUCUGUGUCUCUAGCAUGUGUGGGUUUCGUGCUCCUUAGAUGCACGGACAUCCUGGAAGUAUGUGUUUAUCUGACAACAAAAGUGAAAAAAAAUCAGAACAUAUAGUUGGAGUCAUGUAAAUUUAAAAAAAACAAAAUCUCCUGCUAGCAUUCUGACUACAUGGCAUCUUGAGUCCUCUGAAAGGAAAUUUACAUAGGGUGGGGGGUGGGCAGGGUGUGAAGAGAGGAAAAAGGAGAAGGGUGCAUUUCAGGACAAGUCUAUGAAGGCUGUGUCCACACAGACCAAGACCUGGCUUUGCUCCUAUUCGAUUUAUUGCAAUUCAUCAGAGCAGUCAAAAUUGGUAUGAAAAUCUGCAUUGGGGGGGAAUGCAUUCUGGAUGGGGGGGAUCCAGAAUGAACUAGCCACCAGGAAAGUGGGCAGAUUCCAUACUUUGAUUCUGGUUCCAUUUGGCCUUUGCUGCAUCAAUGACGGAGGCAGAUAUAUUAUUGAGGCCAUUCUCUUGUUAAUUCAUCGGUGACCUUUUCUACUUCCCACCUCCAAAAAGCUACUGAAAAGGAAGACCAUGAGGUACCCUGGCCUUCCAGGGAGGCAGCAGUGGCACAGGGUUAGGGAGGGGACUAUGGGCUCAGACCACCUGGAAGCAACCCUGGCUCCAGUACCCGCUAGCUGAGUGGCCUCGGGCAACCUUAACCAUGCACCACUCAGCCUCCUCAGCUGUAGAAGAAAGAUGGCAGUAAGGAGAACACCUGCCCAGGUGCCGUCGUGAGGAUUCGAUGAGAUGCUGCCCAUAAAGCACUUGAAACAGUACCCGGCACAUACAGAGUAGUCAUUUGAUACACAUAUUACCACUAUUUUAUACUGGCUUACAGGAAAAAUACUCCAUUCUCAAUAGACAACUGCUGCAUUUGGGAGAUUAAGAAGAGCCCAUGAAAGAUGAAUACAUGACAAAAAAUGUAAUGCAGGUUUACUAUAUAAAAUGUGGGGGUGUAGAAGACCAGAGAAGAAAAUUAAAUCCACUUAUAAUCUCACUGCCC
rnacentral:lncRNA from 1 species